AGUGAACGCUGGCGGUAGGCCUAACACAUGCAAGUCGAACGGCAGCACAGUAAGAGCUUGCUCUUACGGGUGGCGAGUGGCGGACGGGUGAGGAAUACAUCGGAAUCUACUUUUUCGUGGGGGAAAACGUAGGGAAACUUACGCUAAUACCGCAUACGACCUACGGGUGAAAGCAGGGGAUCUUCGGACCUUGCGCGAUUGAAUGAGCCGAUGUCGGAUUAGCUAGUUGGCGGGGUAAAGGCCCACCAAGGCGACGAUCCGUAGCUGGUCUGAGAGGAUGAUCAGCCACACUGGAACUGAGACACGGUCCAGACUCCUACGGGAGGCAGCAGUGGGGAAUAUUGGACAAUGGGCGCAAGCCUGAUCCAGCCAUACCGCGUGGGUGAAGAAGGCCUUCGGGUUGUAAAGCCCUUUUGUUGGGAAAGAAAAGCAGCAGGUUAAUACCCCGCUGCUCUGACGGUACCCAAAGAAUAAGCACCGGCUAACUUCGUG
rnacentral:rRNA from 1 species